GGGCCGGUAGAUCAGUCUGGUAGAUCGUCCGCCUCGCACGCGGAAGGUCGCGGGUUCAAAUCCCGCCCGGUCCA
rnacentral:tRNA from 1 species